ensembl:lncRNA
AUGGAAAGUUAUGGUGUAUUCGAUGAGCCUACGAGGAAAGUGUUGAAUCCGAUAGUAUUAUCUAAAGCUAUUGAAGCAGAGGUGGGACAUGUUAGAGAUGCGAGGUGUGUUGGGCAUGGGAGAGUGUUGAUUUUUGCUGUUAAUUGGGCCCAGCAAGGCAAGUUAAUGGCGUUGACGUCGCUGAAUGGAGCGAAGGUGAAGUGUCAUGUACCGGGUGGAAGGGCUAAGAGCAGGGGGGUGAUUACAGGGGUACCGCUGGAUAUAACAAUGGAGGAAUUCAAGAAAGAAGUAAAGGGAGGACGGGUAGUGGAGGCAAAACGAAUGACAAAUAAAAACAAAGGGAACGGAGAGGAGAGCCCAACUGUGAUGGUGGAGUUUGAUGGGCAUAUACCCAGUAGAGUGUGUCUGGGGUAUGUGAGCUACUUUGUGAUGGAGUAUGUGCCGGCGCCGCUAAGGUGCUUCAAGUGUCAACGCAUGGGGCAUGUGGCCAGUGUGUGUAAGGGGCAGUGUCGGUGUGCUAAAUGUGGGGGCCCACAUGAGUAUGGGAAAUGUGAAGCACAGGCUAAAAUAAGGUGUUGUAACUGCGGCGGGGAACAUAGUGCGGCAUAUGUGGGGUGUAUUGUGCAGAGAAAGGAGGCAGAGGUACAGAGAUACAAGAUAGUAAAUAAGGUAACAUAUGCAGAGGCAGCAAGGAAAAGCCAAGGCAGCAGGAGGGAACAAGAAAUAAGGGCCCAGGAACAGCCAGGGGUGAUCACAGGAAGAGGGGAGGGGCAGGUGGUGGAGGGGGGAGAUAAGAAGUAUAGUCAUGGGGGAUGCUCAGUUACAGAAGAGACACUGGUGAUGAAACGGGUGGAUUUUUUGGCAUUUCUGUGUCAUAUUCUUAAUAUGAGUGAACAGGUUAGGAAAAAGUCGGCACGGAUUGAGAUGGUUGUUAGGGCUGCUAAGGAGUUUAUGGGGAUUAUGGAAGUAACAGCAGAGCAGAGGGCAUGGCAAGAGGUGGUGUUUUGA